GCAUAUCAAUAAGCGGAGGAAAAGAAAAUAACAAUGAUUCCCCUAGUAACUGCGAGUGAAGAGGGACAAGCUCAAAUUUUAAAUCUGUUAGGCUUACCUAACCGAGUUGUAAUUUGAAGAGGCGUUUUCUGUGUUUCUGAUCAUCCCAAGUCCUUUGGGAUAGGGCAUCAUGGAGGGUGAGAAUCCCGUUCGGUUGAUCAGAUUCGCUUUACGAUACGUCAUCUAAGAGUCAAGUUGUUUGGGAUUGCAGCUUAAAAUGGGAGGUAAAUUUCUCCUAAGGCUAAAUAACGGCGAGAGACCGAUAGCGAACAAGUACCGUGAGGGAAAGAUGAAAAGAACUUUGAAAAGAGAGUUAAACAGUACGUGAAAUUGUUGAAAGGGAAACGAUUGAAGCCAGUCGUACCUUCGGGUAAUCAGCCUUUCGGGUGCGAUUCUGUGGAGCGUGAGGAGUUAAACGCCUUCAUGCCUGCAUAUUCGUGCACUUUGGGUGUACUUGCCCGUGUGGUAGGUUAACAUCAAUUUCGGAUAUCAUAAAAUGGCUGGAGGAAUGUAGCUUCGGUCUCGUACUGAAGUGUUAUAGCCUCUGGUAGAUGUGAUGACCGGGAUUGAGGAUUGCAACGAAUACCUUUUGGGCUACCCGCCUGAUCUCUGAAAGUUGCUCUGGUGCCGAAAGCUUGCUUACGGUCAUCAAAGUUGACGUUCAAAAGGUUAGAACGGGUUAAAUUCGUUAAGGAUGUUGACGUA
rnacentral:rRNA from 1 species